rnacentral:rRNA from 1 species
GAUGAACGCUAGCUACAGGCUUAACACAUGCAAGUCGAGGGGAAACGACAUCGAAAGCUUGCUUUUGAUGGGCGUCGACCGGCGCACGGGUGAGUAACGCGUAUCCAACCUGCCCAUCACUUGGGAAUAACCUUGCGAAAGUAAGACUAAUACCCAAUGAUAUCCCACGAAGGCAUCGGAAUGGGAUUAAAGAUUUAUCGGUGAUGGAUGGGGAUGCGUCUGAUUAGCUUGUUGGCGGGGUAACGGCCCACCAAGGCAACGAUCAGUAGGGGUUCUGAGAGGAAGGUCCCCCACAUUGGAACUGAGACACGGUCCAAACUCCUACGGGAGGCAGCAGUGAGGAAUAUUGGUAAAUGGGCGAGAGCCUGAACCAGCCAAGUAGCGUGCAGGAAGACGGCCCUAUGGGUUGUAAACUGCUUUUAUAAGGGAAUAAAGUGGGUCACGUGUGACUUUUUGCAUGUACCUUAUGAAUAAGGACCGGCUAAUUCCGUG